rnacentral:rRNA from 1 species
GACGAACGCUGGCGGCGUGCCUAAUACAUGCGAGUUGAGCGCUGAAGGUUGGUACUUGUACCAACUGGAUGAGCAGCGAACGGGUGAGUAACGCGUGGGGAAUCUGCCUUUGAGCGGGGGACAACAUUUGGAAACGAAUGCUAAUACCGCAUAAAAACUUUAAACACAAGUUUUAAGUUUGAAAGAUGCAAUUGCAUCACUCAAAGAUGAUCCCGCGUUGUAUUAGCUAGUUGGUGAGGUAAAGGCUCACCAAGGCGAUGAUACAUAGCCGACCUGAGAGGGUGAUCGGCCACAUUGGGACUGAGACAGGGCCCAAACGGCUACGGGAGGCAGCAGUAGGGAAUCUUCGGCAAUGGACGAAAGUCUGACCGAGCAACGCCGCGUGAGUGAAGAAGGUUUUCGGAUCGUAAAACUCUGUUGGUAGAGAAGAACGUGGGUGAGAGUGGAAAGCUCAUCAAGUGACGGUAACUACCCAGAAAGGGACGGCUAACUACGUG